rnacentral:rRNA from 1 species
AGCUCCAGUAGCGUAUAUUAAAGUUGUUGCAGUUAAAAGCUCGUAGUUGGAUUUCUGGUACGAUGCGCCUGACCCGCCACAUUUAUGUGCGUGAGUGUCGGUGCGCGUCUGCCAUCCUUCUAGAGAACGUUUCUACCCUUCACUGGGCCGGAUUCGCAAUCUAGAUCUUUUACUUUGAAAAAUUAGAGUGUUUAAAGCAGGCAAUUGUUUGAAUAGAUUAGCAUGGAAUAAUAAUCUAGGACUUCGGUUCUAUUUUGUUGGUUUCUACAACUGAAGUAAUGAUUGAUAGGGAUAGUUGGGGGUGCUAGUAUUGAG